UACGUAGGGGGUAAGCGUUGUCCGGAAUCAUUGGGCGUAAAGAGCUCGUAGGCGGUUUGUCGCGUCUGCUGUGAAAUCCCGAGGCUCAACCUCGGGCCUGCAGUGGGUACGGGCAAACUAGAGUGCGGUAGGGGAGAUUGGAAUUCCUGGUGUAGCGGUGGAAUGCGCAGAUAUCAGGAGGAACACCGAUGGCGAAGGCAGAUCUCUGGGCCGUAACUGACGCUGAGGAGCGAAAGCAUGGGGGAGCGAACAGG
rnacentral:rRNA from 1 species